UUCUGAGAUGAAUGCAAUACGCUUCCAGACAUUACUGAUCUUUAUUUAUUUAUUAUCCUUUAACAGGGACAAAAAAGACAUUCAGGAGACAUUUUUUAGAAUUGCCAACACACACCUCAACCCCAGUUAAUGCUACCAGGAAUCAGCGCCAAUCGUCCAGGACUCCACAAGGCAGAAAUGCCCAAGUGACCGGGACUUGGCGCCAAACUGACAACACACCACAAGCGACCGGGAAUCAGCGCCAAUCGUCCAGGACUCCACAAGGCAGAAAUCCCCAAG